rnacentral:rRNA from 1 species
AAAACGACUCUCGGCAACGGAUAUCUCGGCUCUCGCAUCGAUGAAGAACGUAGCGAAAUGAGAUACUUGGUGUGAAUUGCAGAAUCCCGUGAACCAUCGAGUCUUUGAACGCAAGUUGCGCCCCAAGCCAUUAGGCCGAGGGCACGUCUGCCUGGGUGUCACGC